rnacentral:misc_RNA from 1 species
AAACCCAUCAAGCCUCGGCUUGGUCUUGGGGCCUGCGGUUUCGCAGCCUCUAAACGCAGUGGCGGUGCUAUCGAGCUCUGAGCGUAGUAAAUCUCCUCGCUAUAGGGCCUCGGUAGUUGCUUGCCAACAACCCCCAACUUUCUCA